rnacentral:rRNA from 1 species
GACGAACGCUGGCGGCGUGCUUAACACAUGCAAGUCGAACGGAAAGGCCCUUCGGGGUACUCGAGUGGCGAACGGGUGAGUAACACGUGGGUGAUCUGCCCUGCACUUUGGGAUAAGCCUGGGAGACUGGGUCUAAUACCGAAUAGGACCACGCGCUUCAUGGUGUGUGGUGGAAAGCUUUUGCGGUGUGGGAUGGGCCCGCGGCCUAUCAGCUUGUUGGUGGGGUAAUGGCCUACCAAGGCGACGACGGGUAGCCGGCCUGAGAGGGUGACCGGCCACACUGGGACUGGGAUACGGCCCAGACUCCUACGGGAGGCAGCAGUGGGGAAUAUUGCACAAUGGGCGCAAGCCUGAUGCAGCGACGCCGCGUGAGGGAUGACGGCCUUCGGGUUGUAAACCUCUUUCACCAGGGACGAAGCGUAAGUGACGGUACCUGGAGAAGAAGCACCGGCCAACUACGUG